GUGAGUCCCCUGUUGGUGAGUGUAAAAUGACACGCAUGUCCCCUGUUGGAUAGUUACACAUGAACAGCAAAAUGAACAUGUAAGUGUAACCCAGAGUAAAAUCUGCCCUUAAGCCCGCCUUCACUGCUCCAGAUGCAGUACCAUUGGUUAGAGUGACAGUCAGUCACAUAGUGCAUUCAGCCAAUCACUGCAUCUGGAGUGAAUACAGGCCUGCUCCAGCUUCCCCAGUGAGGUGUGAGGGUGAGAGCUGGAGACAAAGGUGCUACAGGUUUGUGCUUCCAAACAACUAGUUAAUCUCUCUGUUUACUUUGCACUUUUAAGACUCACAAUGUAACAAUCAUUUGGAUCUGAACACUCAGUGAGCUUGGAGCUAUGAAGCUGACAUGAACUGAACCUGUAAAUGGAACUGGACUAGCUGUAAUACCAGAGCACGAGAAGGGAUCGUUUCUACGUCAGAGGCAGCAGCAGUCGCAGCAACGCCCCCGCACCACAUCUCACAUUCAGGGAGGACGACCCUGUGAAUGAAAAAAUUAUCUUCCAGAUAAAUAAAUUCUUGUGUUUGGAUUUGCACUGAAUAUGCUCAAAACUUCACAACUGCUGGUAUGUGAAUGAGUGGAGAAAACUUUUGCGUGAAAACAGAAAAGCAGAUGCUAUUUCUGUAAGUGUGUGUGUGAUGUUGUGCUUUACAUGUUCCUGGGACACUCAGACAGUUCUUUGUUCUUCCAUCCGCUGCUCGUCUCUAAUCAUCUUGAAGCCAUGUCUUCCUUCCCUCAAACAACAACAACAUGAGUAAAGCUGCCACCAGUCCAAUUAGAUGUGAGACUGUGACAGUGUUAAGAUCUGCUUCGCCUGACACUCGCACCUUAUCAUGUCACUCACUAAUGAGAACUCUCCGGGGUGACUGCAUCCAUGAUGAUGAAGCAGUCACGUUUUUUUUUCUCUCUCUCUUUCUCUCUCUCUCCUCCCCUUCAUGCGCUUUCAUCUGCCUCUGAUCUCCGCGGCUCCGCUCUCAGGCGGGCUCGAUUCUCAAGAUUCUCCGCGCCUUCCCGGCCGUAUGGUCAACAGGAAAUGAGGAAAGGCUGAAUCACGCUGUGAAGGCUGUCCCCGUCAUCAAUAAAACCUUUGUGAUGAGGCUUAAUGUAUUUUCUAAGAAGUCCCUGCUGCUCCAUGUGAGACGGAGAGCCGUGAGACGGGACUUCUCCUUAUCGGUUUGCUUUGUGCGUUUCGUCUUUUGAUGUUAAUCUGGCCUGCGAACAGCUUCGGAAACCGAAUCUGAGAUUUACGCUGAGUGUGGACAGUUUUUCUAAAAUUUACUCCAGCCUCCACAUUUAUUACCGCUUCUGAUAAGCGGCAAUACAUCUUGUACAAUACUUCAGAUUUUGAUAUCGAAUCGACACCAAGCAAAUGCAGGACCAGACUCACUGAUAUUGAUAUGGGUACUGAUACCAAUGCGAUACUUUUAAUUGUCUAGGUUUGAAAUAUCAUGAAGCUUCAAAGGUUUUUCCUUUGAUUUAUUUUGUUAAAACCUAGGACAGAAUCUGAACAUAGUUUAUGCCUACAAAAUACUUUAAUAACAUACUAACAUGAUAAUCAGAAACAUUAGAAAAUCUGAACAAAUUAGCAUGUUUCCCCCCUAAACAAACCGAAGCGCUUUGUGAUCUUGAUGGGGCAGUUUGAGUGGAUCUCAUCCUGUUACAUCAACCUUAAUUUGGGAUGGAGGCUCACUCGGCUCCUUACCAGCACGCCUCUUUCAUGUCCUGCGUGAAAAAGAUGCAGCCAUUGCUUUGAGCAAUCGCAUGAGGUUUGCACGUGCGCGUUGAGCGGCGUUGACAAAAAGCGUGUGAGUCACAAAGUUAAUUAUAUAUAUAAAAGGCUCUUCUCUGUGUGCUGCUUUUCAUCCCGUUUCUGCGUUAAUACCCGCAGGCUUCUGUUUCCAUCUGUCUCCCCGUUUCUUUGUUGUAUGCUUUCAUGCCCCGAGGAUUGUGUCUCUGUCCUGAUCGCUCUGCGCCUCCAGACUUUCUUCUCUUUUUAAUGUGCACCGACUUCUGAAUGAAGCAUGAGACGUGACGUAUCUCGACAUUGGAGCACAUCAACCGUGCCACAUAAGCAGGCCUGACACUUAAUUGUCUACGGUAUGGAUAAGUGUACAAACGGCUUCGAAAGUGUGAUUUUUGUUUUCUGAAACACCAACAGAGAUAAAAAUAGUAGACUGAAUGUAUUUUCUCUGUGGUCUUAAGAGAAUAACAGCGCCCCGCCUCUUUAAACAGACACAAACAAAGAACACACUGUCUGACGUCGACGUUCAGCUCUGAGGCAAUCCAUCGCAGACGAGUGAAGAAAAAAAAAGAGAAGAAAAACGCCCCUGGAAUGAAAACAAAACAGGCAGAGCUUUGAUGAGUUGCUGAACUUGUCAUUGUUCCUGUUGCAUAAACCGAAACGCCUGCAGGCAGGUGCACCGUAAUGAUGUCACUGGUGACUUUGGAUCAGGCAAAGUGGGGCAGACAAAGAAGUCAGGGCUGCAUCAGCUGGUCUGCGUGUGUUUCACUUUAAACCAUCAAGACCUGAGACGCCCCGCCAUCGUGGGAACAGCUGGGAUCAUGUGUUACGUCAGCUGUUGAAAUUUAUGGAAACCCAGGCUAUAUCUCCGUCGAGUUUUGGACGGUUUAGGUUCUUCUUUCACAAACUGGUCAAUGUAAACCUGCACAGGUUCUGCAGCGAGUUUCGUGUUGUUUGGAAAUUCCAUCAGCCAUUGGGACUUUUGGUAGUUCAGGCAGAUAAAGGAAUGUUGUUUGAUGGGUUGGUGUCAAACCUCAGCUCUGUUUGUUGUUUUUCUCAGACCUGCAACCAACUAUGUACUAUGGUAUGCAGUUAUGUAACUGAGGUAUUGCUGUUGUGUCGUGGCGAGGUGCAGUAAAUAAAUAAUUCUCCUUA